rnacentral:rRNA from 1 species
UACGAAGGGUGCAAGCGUUACUCGGAAUUACUGGGCGUAAAGCGUGCGUAGGUGGUUUGUUAAGUCUGAUGUGAAAGCCCUGGGCUCAACCUGGGAAUUGCACUGGAUACUGGCAGGCUAGAGUGCGGUAGAGGAUGGCGGAAUUCCCGGUGUAGCAGUGAAAUGCGUAGAGAUCGGGCGGAACACCAGCGGCGAAGGCGGCAUCCUGGCCCUAUCCUGACGCUGAGGCGCGAGAGCGUGGGGAGCAAACCGG